rnacentral:rRNA from 1 species
GACGAACGCUGGCGGCGUGCCUAAUACAUGCAAGUCGAACGCUGAAGAGAGGAGCUUGCUCUUCUUGGAUGAGUUGCGAACGGGUGAGUAACGCGUAGGUAACCUGCCUUGUAGCGGGGGAUAACUAUUGGAAACGAUAGCUAAUACCGCAUAACAAUGGAUGACACAUGUCAUUUAUUUGAAAGGGGCAAUUGUUCCACUACAAGAUGGACCUGCGUUGUAUUAGCUAGUAGGUGAGGUAAUGGCUCACCUAGGCGACGAUACAUAGCCGACCUGAGAGGGUGAUCGGCCACACUGGGACUGAGACACGGCCCAGACUCCUACGGGAGGCAGCAGUAGGGAAUCUUCGGCAAUGGGGGCAACCCUGACCGAGCAACGCCGCGUGAGUGAAGAAGGGUUUCGGAUCGUAAAGCUCGGUUGUAAGUCAAGAACGGGUGUGAGAGUGGAAAGUUCACACUGUGACGGUAGCUUACCAGAAAGGGACGGCUAACUACGUG